UCUCCAGCAGCAAACAAUGCGACUAAGCUAUGAAUAUUGUCAAUAAUAGCUGAGAUAGACCAAUCUACGGACUGGUAUUUGCCAGCAAUUGAGUCGAAGCAAAUUUUAGAGUCACCUUCUAAAAUCACGUCUCCAGUUUUCAGAAAUAGCUAUAAUAUACAUAUUUACUCCUUGAAGGCGCAUCAUUUAGAUAUUGGUUAUAUAUUGUGCUGUGGAACAUGUUUAUCUGUGGUUUAAAAAUGCAGAAGUGAGGCCAUGCUUGAAGGGAAGGCUGUCAAUGCUUCUCAAGUUCUUAACUACUACAAGCACAUGGUCAUGAUUUGUCAAUAAGCAUUCUUUAAAAAGUUGUAAACCCCCUGCUUGCAAGUGGACAUGAUUUCUUGAUGGUUGAGAAUGUCAAGUGCUGAUUUCAGUGGAAGUUAGUACCAGAAGAGAGAGUUGCUGGUGAGGUGCAAGCUUUCUAUGUAAAGAUUGAAUGGGGAACCGAUCGAAUUGCAAUUGGAUUUUAUGGUUUGAUGGCUUAGGAGAAAUCCAUAGUCCCUCUACAAUUCGGGAAGACUUAUCCUUCGUACUUAUGAAAGGCAAGGUGGCUGCACCUGUACUCACCAGUAGCUCUGAGGAUUGCAGCUUUUGUUGUGGAAAGCAAACACUAAGCUGGGAGAUAUAAGCUAUUAAGAAAUAAACAUAUUUACUCCUUCCAGUGUUGCAGCAGAAGCAAUCUUCUCAACUCCUAAAAAUUCUUCUCAAAUUACAAAAUUUGGAGAAUGUCAUUUCAACCAGAGAUCUGGCCUUGUAGAGAUGAUCAAAGCAUUGUCACCAAUACACUGCAGAUUAACAGCCACUCUUAGGGCUUUUUUUUUGCUAGUAACUCUAUGGGAAAUUCGGAAAUGCAGCAGUGAGGGCGUGGUUGAAGGGAAGGCUGUCAAUCGAGUUUGCAAUAGGACACAAUUUGUUGAUUGUCAAGAAUGGCAAGUGCUGAUUUCAAUGUAAGUAAAUACUAAAAGAGAAUGUUGCUGGUGAGGUUCAAGCUUUCUAUGCAAUGAUUGAAUGAGGAACCAAAUUGCAAUAGGCUGUUAUGAUUGGAUGGCUUAGUUGAAAUCCAUAGUCCAUUAUCAGACAAUUUGUGAAGCCUUGUCCUUUGUAUUAUGAAAGGUAAAGUAGCUGCACUUGUACUUAACAGUAGCUCUUAGGUUUGCAGCCUUUGUUAUGGAAAGCAAAUACCAAGCUGGGAGAUACAAGCUAUUAAGAAAGACAUUGCUUAAUGUACUGUGUUCGCAAUUUUCUAAGCUCUCAGCUUGCUAAUUCUUCAGUUUCCUGUUUGAUGCACAGAGCCUGGUCUUCUUCUUAGGCAGCUUUUAUGUUAAACAUUCCACCAAAUAAUCCUGGAUUAAAGAAUAAUCUGGACAACAUUGCACAUUGUACUCAAAAUCAUAGCUUUAAGAUAUACCACUACGGCGAAUGCUAAAGUAUACUAGCUACUGCUUUAUGAUUUAUGGUUGGAUGCAAAGUGGGCCAGUAAUCCAGCAUUAGAUUGAUUUAUUGGAUUCUUGCAAAGAUGGCCACAUUAGCCAAAUUCUAGCAUCAGGUAGUAAAACCUUGUCUUCAUUUCUUAUCGUUGUUAACUGUGAAGGUCAACAGAAAUACAAAAUUUAAUCAGCAAGGAAGACACAUUGACUAAAUUACGCUAUUUGGGAGGGACUUUGUUGCAGAUAUUGAAUGAAAUGAGGCAACCUUUUGCAAGUUUUACAUUGGAUAUGCGAUCUAAAGGAGGCUAACCAGUUAUUGUAGAUAUUCUAAACCAUUGAAAACAUGGAAAUGGCGAAGCACUCCCACUCAUUUUGCAAGUCUGGUAAUUAAAAAUAUUUUUCUUAUCGUCAUUUCAUAAUGUGCCACUGCGUUAUUUGUUCUGUAUAUUCUACUUUGGUCUUUGUAAAUAGUAUAGUGCCUCUACUCCCUUGAUAACUGAUUGGAUCUUGAAUUUUUCAACUGUCAUCCGCAAUUCCUAUUAGAAGAUUUCGGUAGCAAACACCAUGAUGCCAAAAUCCUUUUGUGUCUUCUAUGAAUUUCCUGCCCGUCAGUUCUGAGGAUCAUAAACUACCUAUCAAGCUUGACCUGGUUGCAAAUUGUAAUAUCUAUCCCUUUAAGCAUGUAUUAAUGAGAAGGCGUAUUAGGCUUACUAUACAGCUUUGGAUCGUGGUAAUGAUGGAACUUGCAGUUUUUGAAAUCCUGACUCAGACUGUUCAAUGGUGAAAAUUCUUACUACUUGAGAGAUGUAUUAUAAUGUUGCUGCUUGAGAGAUGUAUUAUGACUUUGAUAUUACAGUAGUGGAUUUCAAUGAAUUUGUUCUCUCUUUUCAAUACGAAGUAGAUAAAAUGAAGGUUUUUGAGGCUA